rnacentral:rRNA from 1 species
UACGGAGGAUCCAAGCGUUAUCCGGAUUUAUUGGGUUUAAAGGGUGCGUAGGCGGUUUAUUAAGUCAGUGGUGAAAGCCCGGAGCUCAACUUCGGAACUGCCAUUGAUACUGAUAGACUUGAGUACAGAUGAAGUGGGCGGAAUGUGACAAGUAGCGGUGAAAUGCUUAGAUAUGUCACAGAACACCGAUUGCGAAGGCAGCUCACUAAAGUGUAACUGACGCUGAGGCACGAAAGCGUGGGGAUCAAACAGGAUUAGAUACCCUGGUAGUCCACGCCCUAAACGAUGAUUACUCGCUGUUAGCGAUAUACAGUUAGCGGCUAAGCGAAAGCGUUAAGUAAUCCACCUGGGGAGUACGGUCGCAAGAUUGAA